CACGUAGGGUGCGAGCGUUGUCCGGAUUCAUUGGGCGUAAAGAGCUCGUAGGCGGUUCAGUAAGUCGGGUGUGAAAGCUCCGAGCUCAACUCGGAGAGGCCACCCGAUACUGCUGUGACUUGAGUCCAGUAGAGGAGCGUGGAACUCCUGGUGUAGCGGUGGAAUGCGCAGAUAUCAGGAAGAACACCUGCAGCGAAGGCGGCGCUCUGGGCUGGAACUGACGCUGAGGAGCGAAAGCGUGGGUAGCAAACAGG
rnacentral:rRNA from 1 species